ensembl:lncRNA
GCUUUUGAUAAAGCCCCUCUGUGCACGGGGUGGGGGGGCCCCGGCCGGCUGGAGCCAGCUCACAUCUGGAGGCCAGCACAGGCCCGGGGCAGCCGGCGCGGCUGACAGCGGCGCCACCCCGAGCCACACGCCCAGCUCUGGGUAAACAGCCCCGCGCCCACCCAGCAGCUCACCUUUCGCCCACAAGGCCGCCUUUCUUCUCGGACCCGGGCCGCGGCCACCGCGAACAUUCCUCCAGCACGAGGCAGAACAGGCUGCUGACCUCCAGGCUGGGCCGAAAUGUGAAUCCAGGCAUCAGAUAGUUGUUGAGCACCUACUAUGUGCCAGGCGACCGGGACCCACUGGUGAAGGGAACAGGCAAAGAUGCCCGUCCUCGCAGAGCUGAAGUUCAAGAGAGGAUGCCGGUCAUCCACGCGGGCAUCCUGCAAACACGGCAGCUGGGGGAGCGGCCACACACCUGCUGCAGAUCCUGGGGAUGGGUCAGGCCUCCGGGGACCCCCUCAAGUCCUGGAAGAUGACCUUCUCUGUGGGCUGGGGGAGACAGACGAGAGGGUAGACGGAACAGCCCUCCAGCUCUGGACGUGGAGGCAGGACCCUGAGUGCUUAGAAGGGAAUGAUAGGCCACCUCAUUCACAAUGGAAGGAAACUGAGGCACAGCCACAAAAUAAUAAAGUCUUGGGCAUGCUGAGUGCCUAUAGUAAGCCAGGCGCUGUGCUGAGCCCUUUGACCCACGUUCUUCCAUUUAAUCCUUCCAACAACCGUCACCGUGGGAAGCUGAUACCGGGACCCCUACUUUACAAGUGGGGAAAGGAAGACUCAGGAAGGUAGGCCAAGGCCAUGCCCCCUGUGAAUGGGGGACCUGAGCUGGGCACACAGAUCUGGCUCCAGAACCCAGAACCGAAACCCUGGGCCGUCCUGGGCGGAGGUGAAGGGAAGAGAGGAGGGAAGCCUGGGAGAGACGGAAGAUAAACCCUUGUCUGGCGGCCACGGGCAGCGGAAUAAAUAAUUGCAAGAGUGAGGCACCCGGGGUCAGUUCCAUGUCCAUUCUACCCUGGAUGGCCCAGGGCAGUUUGGAGAAGCCCCAGUUUCAGCCCACCCCAGCAACCUAGAGUUUUCUCUGCUCAUUCACGCAAUCAUUCAGUCAACAGAAAGCGAAGUUCAGGAUGACACAAACAUAGCCCUGUAAACAAUAAAUGUAAACGGGUCGAAUGGGCCUAUUAAAACACAAAGACUCUUGUAUGAGAUCAAAAAUCGAAAUCCA